GGCGAAACUUGUUCCCUUCCACCGUCGCUACUUCUCUCUUCCCCUUCUUGCCCUGUUUUUCUUGCUGGAAUUUGGAAUCGAGCUCGCACUUCUUUUUCCCCCCUCUCUUGCAGUAUUAUUUUGAGGACCGGUUCGACCUGGUCAAGUUCGUGGAGAUUGUACGGGAUGCGGGGCUGUACAUGGUCCUGCGCAUUGGACCAUUUGUUGCUGCCGAGUGGAACUUCGGGUGUGUCUCGAGAUAUUGAUUUACUUAUCUUUGCGGUUUGUUCCUCAAAGCAGUGGUCGUGAUGGGGUUUUGUUGGAGCUGCAGGGGAGUGCCAGUUUGGCUGCAUUAUGUGCCUGGGACUGUCUUUCGGACAAUCAGCGAGCCAUUAAGAUCAACACAUGUAAUUCAUUUUACUGUGAUCAGUUCACACCAAAUUCCCCCAAAUAAGCCAAAAAUUUGGACAGAGAAUUGGCCUGGAUGGUAAUUCUAUUUCAGGAAUUAUCGUUCUAUUUGUAAGCUUAUGCCAAAGUAAUCUUAGCAACAUAAAGUUGUGGAUCCUCCAGAAGGAAAUGAGCCCGUUGGGCUGGACAUGCAAUUUAUGGGAAAGGGCCAAGCUUGGCUAAAUGGAAAAGCCAUUGGAAGAUACUGGUCCAGGACAAGUUCUGUGCAUUGAAUGCAUUCCUAGUUGCAAUUACAGGGGCAAAUUUGUCCCGGACAAAUGCAGGACAGGAUGUGGAGAUCCAACUCAGAGAUGGUAAUCCAGGUACCAUGUCCCUCGAUCUUGGUUUCGACCAUCAGGGAAUACUUUGGUGAUAUUUGAGGAGAAAGGUGGAGAUCCUACUAAGAUUACUUUUUCAAGAAGACGUGUGACAGGUGUCUGUAGUUUUGUAUCAACAGCCUACCCUUCCAUGGACUUGGAAUCCUGGGAUCUAACAGGAGCUAUAAUGGAGAUAAGGCAGUAAUACAUUUGAAGCGUCCCGAGGGCACACUUAUUUCCUCCAUUAAAUUUGCCAGCUUUGGAAAUCCAAGUGGAACAUGCAGAUCCUAUCGCCAAGGAAGUUGUCAUCAUCCUGACUCCAUUUCUGUGAUUGAAAAGGCAGCAUCAAUCAUCUUAAAAAUAUUCUCAGAAUGCUAAUGAAAUUUUAUAUUUGUAAAUUUGUUUGGAUUAAUCGUCAAAGUUAUCAUUUUACAAGAGGGUAUACUUUGAAAAAAAAUCAGCAGUAACACUAAAAGAUUUCUUCUGACCUUAUAAUUUCUGAAAUGCAAAACUUACAUAGGCAUAUUGAAGCUGCAGCACAUACAUGUAAUACUUUUGCAGCUACAUGUUUUUGCAAUGAAAAGGUUUAAUAUAAAUCGCCAACUUCAUAGAAGAUGUCAUCAUCCCGGCUCAAUUUCUGUGGUUGAAAAGGUAUCAUACAUCAUUUUAAAAAUAUUCUCAGAAUGCUAAUGAAUUUUUGUGUUUGUAAUUUUGUUUGGAUUAAUCGUCGAGUUUAUCAUUCUACAACAGGGUAUGCUUAAAAAUAAAACAGCAGAAACAUUAAAAGAUGUCUUCUGACCUUAUAAUUGCGGAAAUGCAAAACUUAUAUGGGCAUAUUGAAGUUGCAGCACAUACAUGGAAUACUUUUGCAGCUAUAUGUUUUUGCCAUGAAAAGGCUUAAUAUAAAUUACCAACUAACUUCAUAGUGGAGGAAGAUCCUUGCAUUGCAAGGCAAAGGUAAAAGCAUUUGUCUUCUUUUAAUUAUGCAUAGAUAUCACUGCCCAAAGUUGAGUCAUUUAAACGAUUUUUCUGAGUUUAUUACUUAAAUCUUGUUAUGGCAGGCCUGUCUACAUAAAAGACUGUGUACUGUGUCGUUGUCUGAAGACAAAUUCAAUAAAGAUUUAUGUCCCAGCAUGAUUAAGACGCUUGCUAUUGAAGCUGCUUGCAGCUAGUAACGUGACGGCUGCUAAAAUUACCUUUUCCAGAAGUUCCAUUGAUGAAAUCAUUCGAGAUAAGGAUCCUUAAUUUAUAGCACGCAAAAACUAGUACCAUAUUGCUUGUCCCUUAUUUCUGAUUCAGAGGGUCAGAGCUGCUUUUAAGCAAAGCUGAUAGAAGGCCUGUUUCAUUUGAAUUCUUCUCUAGUCUCAGUUCAUUUGGAUCUCCAUGUGAAAAUGAACUUCGUUGCUCAAGGAUGUAUUUUGAUUUUUCAUUAAAUAUAAAAGAAAAUUUUGGUUUUGUAA